CGGUGGCCUACAGCUCUGCAAGGGUGAGUAUCAGAAAAUUGGACUAGAUGAGUAAAGUAUUCAAAGCAAUGUGCAAUCCUUGUGCUAAUGUUUCAAUUUGGUAUAUUUCCAGAUGUCUGGAAAUAAUUGGAAAAGACUUGAUAAUGUUUUAGGAACAUUGAUAAAUCCCUCUGGUGAAAUGUCCUGUGCUGGGUUAAGUGAACAAAACUGAAUUUGAUGCAAGGGGGAAGUUUCAGCAGUACAUAAGGUAGAAAGACAGCAAUCUAUCCAUUUCUUUACAACAGUUUCUUCCUUUCUCUUCUUUCACCUGUUUAUCAGGUAUCAUGUUUCUGAUUGUUCUUCAUGGCUUCAUGACUAAAGAACAUGUACUUGAGAACUAUUGAUGUCCUGGCAUCAAGGCUUUACUUCUAUUACUCCCUUAGCUAUGAAUAUACUUGUGAUCUCGCAGAAAUUAGAGGGUGAGUUGUAUCUUAUGAUUCUUUUUUAUGUACAAAUGUCUCGAUGUUAAGAACAAUGUCUA